GAUGAACGCUGGCGGCGUGCCUAAUACAUGCAAGUAGAACGCUGAAGGAAGGAGCUUGCUCUUUCCGGAUGAGUUGCGAACGGGUGAGUAACGCGUAGGUAACCUGCCUGGUAGCGGGGGAUAACUAUUGGAAACGAUAGCUAAUACCGCAUAACAGUAGAUGUUGCAUGAUAUCUACUUAAAAGGUGCAAUUGCACCACUACCAGAUGGACCUGCGUUGUAUUAGCUAGUUGGUGAGGUAACGGCUCACCGAGGCGACGAUACAUAGCCGACCUGAGAGGGUGAUCGGCCACACUGGGACUGAGACACGGCCCAGACUCCUACGGGAGGCAGCAGUAGGGAAUCUUCGGCAAUGGACGGAAGUCUGACCGAGCAACGCCGCGUGAGUGAAGAAGGGUUUCGGAUCGUAAAGCUCUGUUGUAAGAGAAGAACGAGUGUGAGAGUGGAAAGUUCACACUGUGACGGUAUCUUACCAGAAAGGGACGGCUAACUACGUG
rnacentral:rRNA from 1 species